AUUGAACGCUGGCGGCAGGCCUAACACAUGCAAGUCGAACGGUAACAGGAAGCAGCUUGCUGCUUCGCUGACGAGUGGCGGACGGGUGAGUAAUGUCUGGGAAGCUGCCUGAUGGAGGGGGAUAACUACUGGAAACGGUAGCUAAUACCGCAUAAUGUCGCAAGACCAAAGAGGGGGACCUUCGGGCCUCUUGCCAUCGGAUGUGCCCAGAUGGGAUUAGCUUGUUGGUGGGGUAACGGCUCACCAAGGCGACGAGCCCUAGCUGGUCUGAGAGGUUGACCAGCCACACUGGAACUGAGACACGGUCCAGACUCCUACGGGAGGCAGCAGUGGGGAAUAUUGCACAAUGAGCGCAAGCCUGAUGCAGCCAUGCCGCGUGUAUGAAGAAGGCCUUCGGGUUGUAAAGUACUUUCAGCGGGGAGGAAGGGAGUAAAGUUAAUACCUUUGCUCAUUGACGUUACCCGCAGAAGAAGCACCGGCUAACUCCGUG
rnacentral:rRNA from 1 species